rnacentral:rRNA from 1 species
CCCAACCCGUGACGUGCUUUCAAUACUGCCUUUCUUGAGUAUGGGAGAGGGAGACGGAAUUCCAGGUGUAGCGGUGGAAUGCGUAGAUAUCUGGAAGAACACCAGUUGCGAAGGCGGUCUCCUGGCCCAAUACUGACGCUGAGGCUCGAAAGCUGGGGGAGCGAACAGGAUUAGAUACCCUGGUAGUCCCAGCCGUAAACGAUGGACACUAGAUGCCGGAGGAGUCAAUCCCUUCGGUGUCGAAGCUAACGCAUUAAGUGUCCCGCCUGGGGAGUACGCUCGCAAGGGUGAAACUCAAAGGAAUUGACGGGGGCCCGCACAAGCGGUGGAGCAUGUGCUUUAAUUCGAUGCAACGCGAAGAACCUUACCUGGGCUUGACAUGGGAGUGAAAGUCCGCAGAGAUGUANACCUUUCCUUCGGGAACACU